GCCUCCGUAGCUCAAUCGGUAGAGCGUUUGACUGUGAAUCAAAAGGUUGCGGGUUCGACCCCCGCCGGGGGCU
rnacentral:tRNA from 1 species